UAAAAGUUGUUGCAGUUAAAAAGCUCGUAGUUGGAUCUCGGGUCCCAGCUUUGCGGUCUGACUUAUUGUCGGUUACUGCUUGGCUGGCCUACCUCCCGGUUCGCCCUUGGUGCUCUUGACUGAGUGUCUCGGGUGGCCGGAAAGUUUACUUUGAAAAAAUUAGAGUGUUCAAAGCAGGCCGCGUCGCCUGGAUAAUGGUGCAUGGAAUAAUGGAAUAGGACCUCGGUUCUAUUUUGCUGGUUUUCGGAGCUGGAGGUAAUGAUUAAGAGGGACUGACGGGGGCAUUCGUAUUACGGUGU
rnacentral:rRNA from 1 species